GACGAACGCUGGCGGCGUGGAUUAGGCAUGCAAGUCGAACGGUAGGAUACCUUCGGGUAUCUGAGAGUGGCGAACGGGUGAGUAACACGUAGGUGAUCUACCCUCAAGAUUGGGACAACCCAGGGAAACUUGGGCUAAUACCGGAUGAAAGCAGCAGUGAUGUUGUUUGAAAGGUGGCGUAAGCUGCCGUUUGGGGAUGAGCCUGCGCUCUAUUAGUUAGUUGGCGGGGUAAAGGCCCACCAAGGCGAUGAUAGAUAGGCGGCCUUAACGGGUGGUCGCCCACACUGGGAUUGAGAUACGGCCCAGACUCCUACGGGAGGCAGCAGUCGAGAAUAGUCUACAAUGGCCGAAAGGCUGAUAGUGCGACGCCGCGUGAACGAAGAAGCCCUUCGGGGUGUAAAGUUCUUUUAUAUGUGAGCAGUGCUUUUUAUGUGAACAGCAAGUGGGGAGAGAGAUAUUAGCAAUAUGAAUAAAGCAAACGGCUAAACUCCGUGCCCAGACG
rnacentral:rRNA from 1 species